AUCUGCAAAAUAAAGUCUCAAUUCAAAAUUAGUCAAACACAAUUUAUUUGUGAAAUCAAUUACUCCUUUUUACACCCCUCUCUCACGCUCCUAACCGUUCCUCCACUCUUCAAUCUGCUCCAAAAAUAAACCACCAAUCUGCCUUUAAUUUCAAUUAUUUUGAGAAUCAGUUACCUCAAUUUCUCACUGAUUACACGGUUAUGUCAUCUCUCUACCCUAAUCUCUCCGCCUCACACUCUGCAGACACACUCAAUUUCUUUUGAAUCCCAAAUCUCUCAAGGUGGCGGAGGAAACAGUGAAACGAGUUCAUCUUCCUCCCUCCUAAAUUAUGUUUCCACUAAGUUAAUUGUGCAUCCAUGUUCUACCUCGCAAGUUCUACCCUUUCCAAAUCAAACUCAUGGAAUGUUUGUUGAACAGAGAGGAAGCUACAAGUUGAGACAUUGUUGUUCAAGACACACACUCUUUUCAAUCUUUGCUGAUCUUGAUUUCUCAUCUACAGAGAAACCGAGAAUCCAAAUUCAGAGAGGAGAAAUCAUAAGCCACUAAAAUCCUAUCAGUAUACUAUCUGUUGUUGAAGGGUUAAUUGGGACUGUUUCGGGGUGGAAACGGAUCUGCCGAGCCGACGGACAACUCUGGUGGCGGCGGCUGCCCGAUCUGGAAACGGCGACGGAGCGGCUGCUCGUGAAGACGACGGCGCGAGAAGAGAGAUCUGAC